rnacentral:rRNA from 1 species
AGAACUUAGCAGAGAUGCUUUCGGUGCCUUCGGGAACUCUGAGACAGGUGCUGCAUGGCUGUCGUCAGCUCGUGUUGUGAAAUGUUGGGUUAAGUCCCGCAACGAGCGCAACCCUUAUCCUUUGUUGCCAGCGGUUCGGCCGGGAACUCAAAGGAGACUGCCGGUGAUAAACCGGAGGAAGGUGGGGAUGACGUCAAGUCAUCAUGGCCCUUACGGCCAGGGCUACACACGUGCUACAAUGGCGCAUGCAAAGAGAAGCGACCUCGCGAGAGCAAGCGGACCUCAUAAAGUGCGUCGUAGUCCGGAUUGGAGUCUGCAACUCGACUCCAUGAAGUCGGAAUCGCUAGUAAUCGUAGAUCAGAAUGCUACGGUGAAUACGUUCCCGGGCCUUGUACACACCGCCCGUCACACCAUGGGAGUGGGUUGCAAAAGAAGUAGGUAGCUUAACCUUCGGGAGGGCGCUUACCACUUUGUGAUUCAUGACUGGGGUGAAGUCGUAACAAGGUAAGCGUAGCGAG